CUGCUGGCUCUCUAGGGAGCAUGUGCACAUUUGUCAUCUUUAUAUCUCCACCUGUGCACCUCUUGUAGAUCUGGAUAUUUCUCUGAAUGCCUAGCAAUUCAGGUUUGAGGAUUGACUUUACUGUCUAUCCUUACAUUUCCAGGCCUAUGUUUCUUCAUAUACCCCUAACGUAUGUCAUAGAAUGUAAUAAAUGUGCCUUUGUGCCUAUAUAUCUAUACAACUUUCAGCAACGGAUCUCUUGGCUCUCGCAUCGAUGAAGAACGCAGCGAAAUGCGAUAAGUAAUGUGAAUUGCAGAAUUCAGUGAAUCAUCGAAUCUUUGAACGCACCUUGCGCUCCUUGGUAUUCUGAGGAGCAUGCCUGUUUGAGUGUCAUUAAUAUAUAUCAACCUCUACAACUUUUGUUGAGUUGUUGGAUGUGGGGGGCUUUUUGCUGGCUUCUCUCUGAGGUCAGCUCCCCUGAAAUACAUUAGCGGAAUGAUCCCGUUCAUUGGUGUGAUAACUAUCUACGCUAUUGGAUGUGAAGUAAUUUGGCUUAUAACAGUCCAUUGACUUGGACAAAUUUUCAUUAAUGUGACCUCAAAUCAGGUAGGACUACCCGCUGAACUUAAGCAUAUCAAUAAGCGGAGGAAAAGAAACU
rnacentral:rRNA from 1 species